AACGAACGCUGGCGGCAUGCCUAACACAUGCAAGUCGAACGAGACCUUCGGGUCCAGUGGCGCACGGGUUUGUAACGCGUCGGAACCUGCCCUUAUGUUCGGACUAACUCCCCGAAAGGGGUGCCAAUACCGGAUAAUGUCUUCGGCCCAAAGAUUUCUUGCCUUUGGAUGGGCCCGCGUUGGAUUAGCUAGUUGGUAGGGUAAAAGCUUACCAAGGCGACGAUCCAUAGCUGGGCUGAGAGGAUGAUCAGCCACACUGGGACUGAGACACGGCCCAGACUCCUACGGGAGGCAGCAGUGGGGAAUAUUGGACAAUGGGCGAAAGCCUGAUCCAGCAAUGCCGCGUGAGUGAUGAAGGCCUUAGGGUUGUAAAGCUCUUUUACCCGGGAUGAUAAUGACAGUACCGGAAGAAUAAGCUCCGGCUAACUCCGUG
rnacentral:rRNA from 1 species